AGUCGAGCGGAUGAAGAGAGCUUGCUCUCUGAUUCAGCGGCGGACGGGUGAGUAAUGCCUAGGAAUCUGCCUGGUAGUGGGGGACAACGUCUCGAAAGGGACGCUAAUACCGCAUACGUCCUACGGGAGAAAGCAGGGGACCUUCGGGCCUUGCGCUAUCAGAUGAGCCUAGGUCGGAUUAGCUAGUUGGUGAGGUAAUGGCUCACCAAGGCGACGAUCCGUAACUGGUCUGAGAGGAUGAUCAGUCACACUGGAACUGAGACACGGUCCAGACUCCUACGGGAGGCAGCAGUGGGGAAUAUUGGACAAUGGGCGAAAGCCUGAUCCAGCCAUGCCGCGUGUGUGAAGAAGGUCUUCGGAUUGUAAAGCACUUUAAGUUGGGAGGAAGGGCAGUAAGCGAAUACCUUGCUGUUUUGACGUUACCGACAGAAUAAGCACCGGCUAACUCUGUGCCAGCAGCCGCGGUAAUACAGAGGGUGCAAGCGUUAAUCGGAAUUACUGGGCGUAAAGCGCGCGUAGGUGGUUUGUUAAGUUGAAUGUGAAAUCCCCGGGCUCAACCUGGGAACUGCAUCCAAAACUGGCAAGCUAGAGUAGGGCAGAGGGUGGUGGAAUUUCCUGUGUAGCGGUGAAAUGCGUAGAUAUAGGAAGGAACACCAGUGGCGAAGGCGACCACCUGGGCUCAUACUGACACUGAGGUG
rnacentral:rRNA from 1 species